CUUUCAUGGGGUGUGGUUUGAGCAUCAGCAGGGCUCUGUGAUGUGGGAACCCGAGUAACAGUUUCUCAUUUUACAAUGAGGAAAUCUAGACUCAGAUAUUUGCCUAAGGCUACGGACUUCAAAGAGUGGGGAAGCAAUGUUUUGAACCAAGCUCUAGACUUCAUUUUCCUCCAGUUCCUCUCACAGACAAGGACAGUCCCCAGCGGCAGACCCACAGCUUUCCUCCUUGGCCGUCCUUGACUUUCCGCAAAGACCUCGACUCUUAUGAACGAGACAUCUCUUUCAGAUAUUACUCUACUUUGAAGACAGCAAGGAAAAGAAGAUUGAGAAAACUUCAGUGCGUGGUUCUUACACAGAAUCAAGAAUCAGGGUUCUCAACAGGUGCACACCUUUAAUCCCAGCACUUGGGAGGUGGCUCUCUCUGAGUUCAAGGCCAGCCUGGUCUACAGAGUGAGUUCCAGGACAGCUGGGACUACGCAGAGAAACAAACCCUGUCUUGAAAAAACAAAAUAAAACAAAAACAAAACAAACA
rnacentral:lncRNA from 1 species